UGACAUGCUCCAUUCCCUCCCUCCCACAGCCUCUACCUUACCACCAAGAGAGUGGAGGACAUCGCCCUGAGGCUCGUCUCCCUGCGCCAGGCCUUCACUACCCUGCUUGGUUCCACCCUGAGCAGGAACCAUCUGUUUGUGGCAGGAAAGGUCCUAAUGGGCGCACUGGUUCAAGCCCACCACAUGGUAGCUCACUAACUCAUUAUUCAUUCAAGGGAAAGAGAGCGUCCUCGAUGGGAAAUGUGUUCUGUUCACUAACGUCAAUGCUCUUUGCUUUGUGAUAGGACGAGGCCGAAUUCAUCCGUGCCUAUAACGACUUUGUGGACUACCUGAGUGACCCCUCCAAGCAGAUUGACAUUGAGAGGGAGCUGGCUGAGGCAAAGAUCCAUCAUGUUAACCUGAUAGAUGUCCUUUUUGAACUGGUGCUAUUUGGGAUGAUGACAGCUCAGAAGUCCCUGAUGGUG